UCACUUCCCUUUUCUAAUUUCAGUGGGAGACUAAAAGGUUUCUUUUCAAUUUUGAGAUUCAGGAUUGAAGAGGAAGGAGAACAAAAAUGGGAGGUGGUGGAAAUAUGUCUGCUAUGACAACUAAAAAAUCCUCUUGAAAAAGUGCCAUCUUCAAAGCCACCUUUUACACUUGGUGACGUCAAGAAGGCCAUCCCUCCCCCAUUGCUUUGAACGAUCUCUUAUUCGUUCGUUCUCCUAUCUUAUUCAAGAUCUCAUACUUGUCUCCAUCUUUUAUUACAUUGCCACCACUUACAUUCACCUUCUUCCAUCACCAUUAACCUAUUUGGCAUGGACUACUUAUUGGAUUGCUCAAGGUUGUGUUUGCACCGGAAUAUGGGUCAUUGGCCAUGAAUGUGGUCACCAUGGCUUUAGUGAUUACCAAUGGGUAGAUGACACCGUUGGUCUUAUCCUCCACUCUGCACUUCUAACACCAUACUUUGCAUGGAAACAUAGUCAUCGUCGUCACCAUGCAAACACAGGUUCCCUUGAGAAUGAUGAAGUCUACAUACCAAGACUUAAAUCAAAACUAAGAUGGUACUACAAAUACUUGAACAAUCCACUAGGACGAGUAUUCGUACUUGCCUUCACUCUAACUUUUGCUUGGCCUUUAUACUUGAUCUUCAAUAUCUCUGGCAAAAAAUAUGAUCGUUUUGCAUGUCAUUAUGAUCCAUAUAGCCCAAUAUAUUCUAAUCGCGAAAGGCUACAAAUCUACAUUUCAGAUGCAGGUGUGAUUGCAGUUACUUAUUUAUUAUAUCGUGUUACUUUAACACAAGGUCUAGCUUGGGUUCUAUGCAUCUAUGGGGUACCCCUCCUUAUUGUGAAUGGAUUUAUAGUGUUGAUCACUCUUAUGCACCACACUCACUCUUCAUUGCCACAUUAUGAUUCAUCUGAGUGGGAUUAUCUAAGAGGAGCUCUAGCUACGGUAGAUAGAGACUAUGGUGUGUUAAAUAAGGUGUUCCACAAUGUUACAGAUACACAUGUUUUGCAUCAUAUAUUAUCAUAUAUAUCACAUUACCAUGCAAUGGAGGCAACAAAAGCUAUCAAACCAUUGUUAGGAGAAUACUAUAAAUUUGAUGAUGCACCAAUUUUAAAGGCAAUGUGGAGGGAUACAAAGGAGUGUAUCUUUGUGGAGAAAGAUAAAGAUAAAGGAGUUUAUUGGUACAAAAACAAGCUUUGAAAGUUCAUCAAGAAAUAGUCAUUUGGAAUUGGUCAAGUGUUAAAACCUAAGUAGUAUUUGUAUUAUGAAUUGUGUGUUUUUCUUUGUAUUGUACUAGUCAAAUGUUUGUCAACAUGAAGAAUAAUAUGUCUCACUCAAUGUAUCAUCCUAUGAUGAUUAUAAAUUUUAAUAUAAAAUGUAUUCUAUUUCUUUUUUAGUCUA